rnacentral:lncRNA from 1 species
AUGGAGGUGGACAGCGACACAACGCGGUUGGCACAUAAACAGGUUGGAACUACUGGCAGUUUUUCUAGCUCUCCAGUAUUUCUCAAAUCUGCUGACCGGCCGUCAUGUACUACUCAGGUCAGACAACAUGGCGGUUGUGUCAUACCUGAAUCAUCAAGGAGGGUUACGCUCUCGCCCCCUGUGCAGGCUGGCGAGGAGUAUUCUUCUUUGGUCUCGGAACAGAUUUCUAUCGAUCCGAGCAGUUCAUGUCCCCGGACGUUUGAACGUCGGAGCGGAUCUGCUAUCCAGACAGACUCUGGAGCAGGGGGAAUGGAGAUUACACCCACAGACGGUGAGCCUUUUAUGGCAGAUAUUCGGAGAGGCGAGAGUGGACUUAUUCGCGUCGAGCACGACUACGCAUUGCCCGCUGUGGUUCUCCCUAUGCCCUCCAUCGCCCCUAGGCUUGGAUGCGUUAGCUCACGAUUGGCCCAGGACCAGCUUGUAUGCUUUUCCUCCAAUUCGUUUAAUUCCAGCGGUGUUGUCCAGGAUACGGCUGGACAGAGUGGAGCAGCUGCUGCUGGUGGCUCCGUGGUGGCCCACACAGCCGUGGUUUGCGGAACUGGUCAGUCUAAUAGCGGGCUCUCCAUGGGAGAUUCCCCUCAGACAGGACUUACUAUCGCAAGCACGAGGGAUGAUUUGGCACCCGAGGCCAGAUCUGUGGAAACUGUGGGCGUGGCCUCUGAGCGGAGUGAGUUAAUAUGUCCCGGUCUUUCUGCGGAAACCUCCGAGACUAUUAUGAAUUCCAGAGCAGCAUCUACGAGACGCUUAUAUGCUUUCAAAUGGAAGCUGUUUACGACCUGGUGUGGUUUUCGUAGUAUAGACCCAGUUUACUGCCCAGUGGCUUCAGUACUGGAGUUCCUUCAAGACCGUUUCUCUGAUGGAGUAACGCCAGCAACUUUGAAAGUUUAUGUGGCAGCCAUUUCAGCUAACCACGUAUAUAUGGAUGGUGCUUCAGUGGGCCGUCAUCCGCUGGUCUCUCGCUUUUUACAAGGUGCGCGACGGCUGAGGCCUUUCCGCCCUGUGCGAGUUCCCUCAUGGGAUUAUCUAUUGUACUGCAAGGUCUAUCAGGACAUCCGUUUGAGCCCUUGGAAACCGUACCGGAUAAAAUCCUGA